rnacentral:rRNA from 1 species
CGGGUGUGAAUUAGCGGCGAACGGGUGAGGAACACGUGAAGAAUCUGCCUUCAACUCUGGGAUAACUCCGGGAAACCGGGGCUAAUACCGGAUAUGAGCCUUGAUCGCAUGAUCGGGGCUGGAAAGUUUUUCGGUUGAAGAUGACUUCGCGGCCUAUCAGCUUGUUGGUGAGGUAAUGGCUCACCAAGGCGACGACGGGUAGCCGGCCUGAGAGGGCGACCGGCCACACUGGGACUGAGACACGGCCCAGACUCCUACGGGAGGCAGCAGUGGGGAAUAUUGGGCAAUGGAGGAAACUCUGACCCAGCGACGCCGCGUGAGGGAUGAAGGCCUUCGGGUUGUAAACCUCUUUCAGUAGGGAAGAAGCGAAAGUGACGGUACCUACAGAAGAAGCACCGGCUAACUAUGUGCCAGCAGCCGCGGUAAUACAUAGGGUGCAAGCGUUGUCCGGAAUUAUUGGGCGUAAAGAGCUCGUAGGUGGUUCGAUACGUCGGAUGUGAAAAUCAGGGGCUCAACCCCUGACCUGCAUCCGAUACGGUCGAGCUAGAGUUUGGUAGGGGAGACUGGAAUUCCUGGUGUAGCGGUGGAAUGCGCAGAUAUCAGGAGGAACACCGAUGGCGAAGGCAGGUCUCUGGGCCAAUACUGACACUGAGGAGCGAAAGCGUGGGGAGCGAACAGGAUUAGAUACCCUGGUAGUCCACGCCGUAAACGGUGGGCGCUAGUUGUGCGAACCUUCCACGGUUUGUGCGACGCAGCUAACGCAUUAAGCGCCCCGCCUGGGGAGUACGAUCGCAAGAUUAAAACUCAAAGGAAUUGACGGGGCCCCGCACAAGCAGCGGAGCAUGCGGCUUAAUUCGACGCAACGCGAAGAACCUUACCAAGGCUUGACAUAUACAGGAAUAUGGCAGAGAUGUCAUAGCCGCAAGGUCUGUAUACAGGUGGUGCAUGGUUGUCGUCAGCUCGCGU